rnacentral:rRNA from 1 species
UACGUAGGGUGCGAGCGUUGUCGUCGGAAUCACUGGGCGUAAAGCGCACGUAGGCCGGAUCGUUUAAGUCAGGGGUGAAAUCCUGGAGCUCAACUCCAGAACUGCCUUCGAUACUGGCGAUCUUGAGUCCGGAAGAGGUGAGUGGAACUCCUAGUGUAGAGGUGGAAAUUCGUAGAUAUUAGGAAGAACACCAGUGGCGAAGGCGGCUCACUGGUCCGGUACUGACGCUGAGGUGCGAAAGCGUGGGGAGCGAACAGG